ACUCCUACGGGAGGCAGCAGUGGGGAAUUUUGCGCAAUGGGCGAAAGCCUGACGCAGCAACGCCGCGUGAGUGAUGAAGGCUUUCGGGUCGUAAAGCUCUGUCGAGGGGAAAGAAGUGUAUUGCGGUUAAUACCCGCUUUACUUGACGGUACCCCUAAAGGAAGCACCGGCUAACUCCGUGCCAGCAGCCGCGGUAAUACGGGGGGUGCAAGCGUUGUUCGGAAUUAUUGGGCGUAAAGCGCGUGUAGGCGGUCUGAUUAGUCUGAUGUGAAAGCCCUGGGCUCAACCCGGGAAGUGCAUUGGAUACUGUCAGACUUGAAUACGGGAGAGGGUAGUGGAAUUCCUAGUGUAGGAGUGAAAUCCGUAGAUAUUAGGAGGAACACCGGUGGCGAAGGCGGCUACCUGGACCGAUAUUGACGCUGAGACGCGAAAGCGUGGGUAGCAAACAGGAUUAGAUACCCUGGUAGUCCACGCCGUAAACGAUGAGUACUAGGUGUUGCGGGUAUUGACCCCUGCAGUGCCGCAGCUAACGCAUUAAGUACUCCGCCUGGGAA
rnacentral:rRNA from 1 species